rnacentral:rRNA from 1 species
UCGGGAAUUUUGGGCAAUGGGCGAAAGCCUGACCCAGCAACGCCGCGUGAAGGAUGAAGUAUUUCGGUAUGUAAACUUCGAAAGAAUAGGAAGAAUAAAUGACGGUACUAUUUAUAAGGUCCGGCUAACUACGUGCCAGCAGCCGCGGUAAUACGUAGGGACCAAGCGUUGUUCGGAUUUACUGGGCGUAAAGGGCGCGUAGGCGGCAAUUCAAGUCAUCUGUGAAAUCUCCGGGCUUAACUCGGAACGGUCAGAUGAUACUGCUUUGCUAGAGUGCAGAAGGGGCAAUCGGAAUUCUUGGUGUAGCGGUGAAAUGCGUAGAUAUCAAGAGGAACACCUGAGGUGAAGACGGGUUGCUGGGCUGACACUGACGCUGAGGCGCGAAAGCCAGGGGAGCAAACGGGAUUAGAUACCCAAGUAGUCCCUG